AACGAACGCUGGCGGCAUGCCUAACACAUGCAAGUCGAACGAGACCUUCGGGUCUAGUGGCGCACGGGUGCGUAACGCGUGGGAACCUGCCCUUAGGUUCGGAAUAACUCAGAGAAAUUUGAGCUAAUACCGGAUAAUGUCUUCGGACCAAAGAUUUAUCGCCUUUGGAUGGGCCCGCGUAGGACUAGCUUGUUGGUGGGGUAAUGGCCUACCAAGGCGACGAUCCUUAGCUGGUCUGAGAGGAUGAUCAGCCACACUGGGACUGAGACACGGCCCAGACUCCUACGGGAGGCAGCAGUGGGGAAUAUUGGACAAUGGGCGAAAGCCUGAUCCAGCAAUGCCGCGUGAGUGAUGAAGGCCUUAGGGUUGUAAAGCUCUUUUACCAGGGAUGAUAAUGACAGUACCUGGAGAAUAAGCUCCGGCUAACUCCGUG
rnacentral:rRNA from 1 species